GACGAACGCUGGCGGCGUGCCUAACACAUGCAAGUCGAGCGAAUGAAGUUCCUUCGGGAACGGAUUUAGCGGCGGACGGGUGAGUAACACGUGGGCAACCUGCCUCAUAGAGGGGAAUAGCCUUCCGAAAGGAAGAUUAAUACCGCAUAAGAUUGUAGCUUCGCAUGAAGCAGCAAUUAAAGGAGCAAUCCACUAUGAGAUGGGCCCGCGGCGCAUUAGCUAGUUGGUGAGGGAACGGCUCACCAAGGCGACGAUGCGUAGCCGACCUGAGAGGGUGAUCGGCCACAUUGGGACUGAGACACGGCCCAGACUCCUACGGGAGGCAGCAGUGGGGAAUAUUGCACAAUGGGGGAAACCCUGAUGCAGCAACGCCGCGUGAGUGAUGACGGUCUUCGGAUUGUAAAGCUCUGUCUUCAGGGACGAUAAUGACGGUCCCUGAGGAGGAAGCCACGGCUAACUACGUGCCAGCCGCCGCCGUAAAAC
rnacentral:rRNA from 1 species